rnacentral:rRNA from 1 species
GAUGAACGCUAGCGGGAGGCUUAACACAUGCAAGUCGAGGGGCAGCACGAGGUAGCAAUACUUUGGUGGCGACCGGCGCACGGGUGAGUAACGCGUAUGCAACCUACCCUGUACAGGGGGAUAACCCGGAGAAAUUCGGACUAAUACCCCAUAAAGAUAUUAGAAGGCAUCUUUUUAUAUUUAAAGUUCCGACGGUACGGGAUGGGCAUGCGUGACAUUAGCUAGUUGGUAGGGUAACGGCCUACCAAGGCUUCGAUGUCUAGGGGUCCUGAGAGGGUGAUCCCCCACACUGGUACUGAGACACGGACCAGACUCCUACGGGAGGCAGCAGUGAGGAAUAUUGGUCAAUGGGCGCAAGCCUGAACCAGCCAUCCCGCGUGAAGGAAGAAGGCGCUAUGCGUUGUAAACUUCUUUUCCAGGGGAAGAAAACCAGAUACGAGUAUCGGCUUGCCGGUACCCUGGGAAUAAGCAUCGGCUAACUCCGUGCCAGCCGCCGCCGUAACAC